rnacentral:rRNA from 1 species
GUGGGGAAUCUUGCGCAAUGGGCGAAAGCCUGACGCAGCCAUGCCGCGUGAAUGAUGAAGGUCUUAGGAUUGUAAAAUUCUUUCACCGGGGACGAUAAUGACGGUACCCGGAGAAGAAGCCCCGGCUAACUUCGUGCCAGCAGCCGCGGUAAUACGAAGGGGGCUAGCGUUGCUCGGAAUUACUGGGCGUAAAGGGCGCGUAGGCGGAUCGUUAAGUCAGAGGUGAAAUCCCGGAGCUCAACUUCGGAAUUGCCUUUGAUACUGGCGAUCUUGAGUGUGAGAGAGGUAUGUGGAACUCCGAGUGUAGAGGUGAAAUUCGUAGAUAUUCGGAAGAACACCAGUGGCGAAGGCGACAUACUGGCUCAUUACUGACGCUGAGGCGCGAAAGCGUGGGGAGCAA